AAGAUCAUUUUUUAAGGAUAAAUUUCUAUAGUGAGAUUCCCGGGGUUUUCCCCCAAAAGUUUCUGGGAAUAUAUUAAACCCCACGAGAGGUUUUCAGUUGAUCCUCUGAGCAACGGCCCUUUACGAUUCGUAAGAGCUUUUGAUGACCUUUUCUGGCCGGUAUACCGUGUCUAGAGGAGGUUCACGCAGACUGAGGGGU